GACGAACGCUGGCGGCGUGCCUAAUACAUGCAAGUAGAACGCUGAAGGAGGAGCUUGCUCUUCUGGAUGAGUUGCGAACGGGUGAGUAACGCGUAGGUAACCUGCCUGGUAGUGGGGGAUAACUAUUGGAAACGAUAGCUAAUACCGCAUAAUAACAGUUGUUGCAUGACAACUGUUUGAAAGGUGCAAUUGCAUCACUACCAGAUGGACCUGCGUUGUAUUAGCUAGUUGGUGGGGUAGCGGCUCACCAAGGCGACGAUACAUAGCCGACCUGAGAGGGUGGUCGGCCACACUGGGACUGAGACACGGCCCAGACUCCUACGGGAGGCAGCAGUAGGGAAUCUUCGGCAAUGGACGAAAGUCUGACCGAGCAACGCCGCGUGAGUGAAGAAGGUUUUCGGAUCGUAAAGCUCUGUUGUAAGAGAAGAACGAGUGUGAGAGUGGAAAGUUCACACUGUGACGGUAUCUUACCAGAAAGGGACGGCUAACUACGUG
rnacentral:rRNA from 1 species